ensembl:lncRNA
AUCAGAACCUCUGGGGAUGUCCUGUGGAUUCUGUGGAUCCUGUGGGUUGCAGGGUGGGUCCUACCUAGACCAGGCUGAUCCUGGACCAUCCCACAGAUGCUCCAUCAGAUGUGGAUGUGGGGAGUGUGGAACCCAGAUGCACAAUGAGGGACGUCUGCAGCGACUGAGAAAGAGUCUCACCACAUCCUGACAUGAGGAAAAAGACUUUAUUGAAGACUGCAAUGAGAAAAACUAUCAGACAGCAGACGGCAUGCAUUCAAGUCUGUAGCUGCUGAAUUCAUGGAUGAAUCAUCUGGCACUAGAGAGGAAGACCAUCAAACAUCCACGUCAGCUGAUGGAGGUCCAAGAGUCUCACCAAACAACCAACCUACAGAGUGAAGACCUCGAAUCUGAUUGGACGGCCUCCUAUUCAGCCACAUUUUAGGCUGUUAGAUUGUUCCAGAUAAGACAAGUACAAGAUUCUUCAGAGCCGUUCUACCACGAGCCUGACAGGAAGAACUCCAACAGCUACUGAAUGUUCCUGUGGUUCCCUCAAGGCUACAGGAGGAGUCCUACGAGGACGAGCCGGUCCACCUGAUGGAGGCCAGUCGCUGCGGUUCAAAGCCAACACCGACUACGUGGACUUCUACUGGACCACAGGGAGGCCUUCAAACCGGACCAACAAGUUCAGCGACUCCCCGACUCGUGGGUCUGAGGACGCCGCCGAGCCUCGGUCCAGCCGGCCUCCUGUCUGUGGGUGUUUGAGUGCUGAGAGGUUUGUGGAUGCAUGUGAACGUUCUGUGUUGAAACUGCAGCUUUUGACUCACUAACGCCGGGAAAAACCAAGAGCUCCUUUAUUUGUGACUUCCACUAAAAAAAACUGAUGAAAAUAAGUUUGCCAGGGUUCUGACUGAUAACAGAUUAUUAAAUAAUGAAAAUAACAGUUUAAGUGUUCCUUUAAACAAUCCUUUUAGGUCUACAUUUCCUUUACACUGACUUCUUGGUAUAUGUACAAGUAUUUUGGGUUGAAUAUACCAUUAAGCCCAAUGUUCUGGGGUUCUUCUGGGAAUAUACCAUUAAACCAAAUUUUUAGGUAAAUGUUCCAGGAUGUUGGGUAGAAUAUACCAUCAGAUCAACCUUUCAGGUCUACAUUGGAAGAUUUUAGAGUAGAAUAAUAAUCCAAACCAUCCUUUAGGUCUACAGUUAAGGUGGAAUACUCCUUUACACCAAGAUUUUUUGGUCUACAUUGAAGGGUUUUAGGUGGAAUAUUCCUUUGAACGAACUUUUUAAAUUUAUGUUCAAGGAUGUUGGGUGGAAUAUACCAUCAGACCAACCUCCAAGGUCUACAGUAGUGGAUUUUAGGUGGAAUAUACCAUUAAACUCACCUUUUAGGUCUACAUUGGAGGGUUUUAGAUGGAAUUUUCUUCCAAACCGUCUUUUAGUCUACAUUUAAGGAUGUUUAGGAUGGUAGAUUCUUCCAAACCAACUUCUCAGGUCUACAUUUCAGGUGGAAUAUUCCUCCAUACUAACUUUUUUGGUCUACAUUGAAGGAUUUUUUCUAAACCACCCUUUCAGGUCUAUAUUUGAGGUUUUAGGUGGAAUAUUCCUUUUAACCAGCACCUCAGGUCUGUUUGAGGAUUUUGGAUGGACUCCACGGUUAAACCAACAUUUUAGGUGCAUGUCCAAGGAUUUUUGGUGGAAUGGUCCUUUAAGGUGGAUGUUUGAGGGCCUUGUAGGUGGAAUACUUCCUGAAACCAACCUUUUAGGUCAACAUUCAAAGAUUUAAGGUGGAAUGUUCCUUUAAAUCAAGCUAAAUUUCAUGUUUUGAUCAUUAUCAAGUGAGAAACCUCAAUCCAGACUCCUCAUAAUGACAUUUGAGAUUCAUGCUGCUAUUUGUUUAGUCCAGACUAAAUGACAGAAAUCCACAACUGUAAUUUUAUUUCAUGACUCGGUUAUUAAAUGUCAAAACAAUCCAUGUGACUAUAAAACUCAACAGCUUUACAAACUCUAAGAUUAAACUCCCCACAAGGAUCCAAAAUAAGUUGGACUUCUACAUGAGAGCUUUAAUUAUUCUUC